rnacentral:rRNA from 1 species
CGGCUAANUACGUGCCAGCAGCCGCGGUAAUACGUAGNUCCCGAGCGUUGUCCGGAUUUAUUGGGCGUAAAGGGAGCGCAGGCGGUCAGGAAAGUCUGGAGUAAAAGGCUAUGGCUCAACCAUAGUGUGCUCUGGAAACUNUCUGACUUGAGUGCAGAAGGGGAGAGUGGAAUUCCAUGUGUAGCGGUGAAAUGCGUAGAUAUAUGGAGGAACACCAGUGGCGAAAGCGGCUCUCUGGUCUGUCACUGACGCUGAGGCUCGAAAGCGUGGGUAGCGAACAGGAUUAGAUACCCUGGUAGUCCACGCCGUAAACGAUGAGUGCUAGGUGUUAGGCCCUUUCCGGGGCUUAGUGCCGGAGCUAACGCAAUAAGCACUCCGCCUGGGGAGUACGACCGCAAGGUUGAAACUCAAAGGAAUUGACGGGGGCCCGCACAAGCGGUGGAGCAUGUGGUUUAAUUCGAAGCAACGCGAAGAGCCUUACCAGGUCUUGACAUCCCGAUGCUAUUCUUAGAGAUAGGAAGUUACUUCGGUACAUCGGAGACAGGUGGUGCAUGGUUGUCGUCAGCUCGUGUCGUGAGAUGUUGGGUUAAGUCCCGCAACGAGCGCAACCCUUAUUGUUAGUUGCCAUCAUUAAGUUGGGCACUCUAGCGAGACUGCCGGUAAUAAACCGGAGGAAGGUGGGGAUGACGUCAAAUCAUCAUGCCCCUUAUGACCUGGGCUACACACGUGCUACAAUGGUCGGUACAACGAGUUGCGAGCCGGUGACGGCAAGCUAAUCUCUGAAAGCCGAUCUCAGUUCGGAUUGGAGGCUGCAACUCGCCUCCAUGAAGUCGGAAUCGCUAGUAAUCGCGGAUCAGCACGCCGCGGUGAAUACGUUCCCGGGCCUUGUACACACCGCCCGUCACACCACGAGAGUUUGUAACACCCGAAGUCGGUGAGGUAACCUUUUAGGGGCCAGCC